AGUGAACGCUGGCGGUAGGCCUAACACAUGCAAGUCGAACGGCAGCACAGUAAGAGCUUGCUCUUACGGGUGGCGAGUGGCGGACGGGUGAGGAAUACAUCGGAAUCUACUUUUUCGUGGGGGAUAACGUAGGGAAACUUACGCUAAUACCGCAUACGACCUACGGGUGAAAGCAGGGGAUCUUCGGACCUUGCGCGAUUGAAUGAGCCGAUGUCGGAUUAGCUAGUUGGCGGGGUAAAGGCCCACCAAGGCGACGAUCCGUAGCUGGUCUGAGAGGAUGAUCAGCCACACUGGAACUGAGACACGGUCCAGACUCCUACGGGAGGCAGCAGUGGGGAAUAUUGGACAAUGGGCGCAAGCCUGAUCCAGCCAUACCGCGUGGGUGAAGAAGGCCUUCGGGUUGUAAAGCCCUUUUGUUGGGAAAGAAAAGCAGCAGGUUAAUACCCCGCUGUUCUGACGGUACCCAAAGGAUAAGCACCGGUUAACUUCGUG
rnacentral:rRNA from 1 species